CUUAGAGCUGUACUGAGAGGGAAAGAAGAGACACGCCAAACAGGAAGUGAAAUAAGGGAAAAGAAGACUUUGGUAGGAUGUAAAGGAAUUAUAUGCCAGGAGUGCUAACCGGAAUCCUCUUUUUUUUUCUAGAAGAAAUGAUAUAAAGAGCAAACAGAAUAACUGAAACAGGAGAGAAAUUUUUGCCUGGAACUGCCGUCAUUCUCCUGCUCCUCUGUACCUCCCUCGGACGUUGAACCCUGUUGAACCCCUAAUGCUUGGAUACAUCUAUCAUAUCCAUGUGCUCCUGAAAGUUUCUGAAUCAACAGACGAAAAGAAAUGCGAAAGAACCAGGAAGAAGCAUGAACUCUUUUUUGAAUCUUCAAACUUGGACCAUUCGUAAGGUAUGAAGUCUCUAAGGGGUUUGUACCUGUAGCGUGCUGAGGGAUGUAUGCAGUUUUGCUUGACAAAGUGAGAUUCACUUCAAGUUACUUAUAAUGAAAGAUUCAUGCAGACAGGCAUACUGGAAGACAACCCCAUGCUGUCCGAUGCCUCGUAACACCGGCAAGCACAUAAAGAAGACAAGAUUUUAGCAUCUCUGCAAGACCAAACUGACGACUCCACAAGGUUUGGCUAAAUCCUGAGAACAAUCUCUUUCCCUAAUCUUAUGACAGACUACAAGUUUUAGGAACCUCUCAGAAGCCUGCUGUGUGGGAAAGCCUUUCCACUGCGCACUCAGAAAGAAAGAGAAGACCUCAGAGGCAUAGUGAACAACAAUAAUAAUAAUAAGAAGAAGAAAACGAAGAAGAAGAAGAAUUAAAGAACCAGGAGAAAGGGACAGACAGCCAGAGCUGGCUGUGGCAAGAACAAGGGAGCAGGGGGAAAGGGUGAAGAAGAGAUGGGACUUCAUGGGCUUUUGUGAAAGCUUGAAAGAAUGGAAGCAGCUCCAAAAUAAAAAGCAGAACAGGGAGUCCCUGCAAUCCCCCUGGUACAAUGCGUGGAAACGUGAUUUCUCUUGUUGGGCUGAUAUGAUGAGACCUCAUGACAUAAACCGCAAAAGGUCACAAAGAAUAUCUCACACUUCUUCGUGUGCUACAUCACUUAGACAACCUAAAUCAGGAUUCUGUACAACCAUCGCAGCCAUGGGAUUCAAGUGAUCAAAGCAGAUGAAGCUGAAGAAAAUCAGGUAACUAGCUUAGUUAUUGCUGG
ensembl:lncRNA